rnacentral:rRNA from 1 species
CCUACGGGGGGCUGCAGUGGGGGAUAUUGCACAAUGGGCGCAAGCCUGAUGCAGCCAUGCCGCGUGUGUGAAGAAGGCCUUCGGGUUGUAAAGCACUUUCAGCGGGGAGGAAGGCGGUGAGGUUAAUAACCUCAUCGAUUGACGUUACCCGCAGAAGAAGCACCGGCUAACUCCGUGCCAGCAGCCGCGGUAAUACGGAGGGUGCAAGCGUUAAUCGGAAUUACUGGGCGUAAAGCGCACGCAGGCGGUCUGUCAAGUCGGAUGUGAAAUCCCCGGGCUCAACCUGGGAACUGCAUUCGAGACUGGCAGGCUAGAGUCUUGUAGAGGGGGGUAGAAUUCCAGGGGUAGCGGUGAAAUGCGUAGAGAUCUGGAGGAAUACCGGUGGCGAAGGCGGCCCCCUGGACAAAGACUGACGCUCAGGUGCGAAAGUGUGGGGAGCAAACAGGAUUAGAUACCCCAGUAGUC